GGUUUUAGUUUAGAAAAAAUUUAUAUGUUGCAUAUAUAAGAGAGAUGACUCUA
rnacentral:tRNA from 1 species